CCCCACCCCCCCUCAAGGGGCGGUCCCCUGGUCCCCUGGGGGAGGUUUUCGGGCCCACGACCCGGGGAGGACGGCGCCCUGGAGAGCUGCGGGCCGGGUUCGCAGGACUGGGGUCUGGGCCGCUGCAGCCGGGUGGCCGGCGCCGCGGCGGCCCCUCCCCGCCGUCCCCUCCUCCUCGCCUCCUCCGCCCCCCCACCCCCCUCCUCCGGGUCCCCGGCAGCGGCGGCUGGAGGAGCAGCCGGCGGCGCAGCGGCCGCGCAGCCUUUGUCUCGGGGCCGCGGGGCGGCGGGGCCAGGCGCAGGCAGGCCACGCGGGGACGGAGGAGGCAGAGAGGACAGGCAGUGAUGGAGAAACGGGAGAGGAGCCGGCCAGCGUCACCAUCACCAUCACCGCCACCAUCGCCUCCACCAUCACCAUCACCACCAUCACCAUCCCCAUCCCUGCCCGUCGCCCAUCCCAGCUGCCCCGGACCUCCCCUCCCUUCUCAUCUCCCCCCUGUCACGUCAACUUUACCAGAUUAUUUCCUUUUCCUGGGUGAUACUUUGAAACGGCGACAGCGUGCUCCAAAUUAGGAAUAAGUACCUCUGCUGUGGGACAUUCGGGCGCCUCUCCUUUGCCCGUUCGCGACCUCAGUUUUCCCAUCAGGAAAAGGACCACAGGGGUGCUCCGUUCCUCACAGUCAGCCUGUGAUGGCCGGCAAGCUUUCGGUUUUUCUAAUCUGGUGCCAGAAAGGGUUUUAGAGAUUACAUUUUUUCUCUCUCAUAUGGUGAGAGAUGUUCAUAUGGUAAAGUGGUAUUUUCACUGGGUUAAAUAACCCGGAGUUUUCAGUUCUUCUCUCCUUUGAUUAUUGAAUGGCAAAAUGCCAGUAGCAAAUAGAAGCUAAGGAAAAUGAAACUUCGACUAAAAUCAUACCAAGAAUAGAAGCAAAACAGGUAUGUCUGUAGGAAAAUCACCCAAGACGGCCGAACGCAAUGACUUUCGUCUCAAGUGCAGAAAGUGCCCUUUUCGUGGGUAGCGGUUGUAGAUGUCCUUAUUCGGGAUGCAUGUAGUGGCCCCUAAGUGCUUUGCACCCUACCGGAAGAAUGUUUAAAUUGCUGUGUUUCAAAGCUGGCACUCACCUGGUCCAAGGGACUGCUGAGCCGUAGGAGCAAAUAUCAACCCAGCCAGAGGGAUUGUUAGGAAGCCCAGCCCGACAGAGCACAGGGAUCUUCUUGUGAAAAGCAACUUACAGAACACAAGAUCCUAAACGCUCUGCAUUUUGGCCCACUAGGGCGAAAAAUGAGUCUUGACCUUUCCGUGUCUUACAUUCUAGUCUGAGAAAGGCAGCUAGACGGUCCUAAGUUGCUUGGUAGGCUUGGACAGUCAGCGUGGCAAGGUUCCUGUUAAACAGGGUGAUGAACCACAUGUACGGUUUGCCCUGGGUCCUCUCCUACUCGGAGAAAAAGAAAAGUGACCGUCUUAGCAAUAAUGUGGACCCAACUGAGCUGUUUUCGUGGCUCGAGUUAAAAUACCUCAAAUGUUGAAAUAUAAUUGUACGUCAUUAACUUAAACCUGUCUAAUUGGUGAAAUGGGGCUUUUAGUAUAUGUGAUUCUGUGGAGAGUGACUUUGAAGUUAUCUUCCUUUCUAAAAAUACUUCAGGGCCUCAAACUUAAGUAAGGCGGAGUCGAUUGAAAGCAGUGACAUUUUUAGAACAAAGAUUUAAAGAACUCCUUCACCAUGUUUUUAGUGCUGGAUCUUUGGGAAAUAUUAGCAUCCUAAGGAACUUCGGUGCCUUGGGUUGUUGCUGAAUUCUGGUCUUACACCCACGUGAGCUGUUUUAACCCCUGUGAAUUUUGAUAUCCCCAUAUGAAUUAUACCACAAUUUUAAAAUAAUUCAUUUCUUUUAUUGAAGUCUGAUUUACGUAUGUGCAAUGCAUCGCUCCUUACUGUACAGCUUGGUGAAUUUUUAUCUAUGUUUACCCUGUAUUAUAUAUGUUUAUCUAUGUUUACCCUAUAUUACCUCUGACCUGAACAAAAUACAAAAUAUUUUCACCAUCCCGGAGUGUCCCCUCAUGUCCCUCCCAGACAUAACUGCUUGUCUGACUGCUCUCAACAUACAAAAAAUAAUUUCUUUUAAAUUUCCCGCUGUUAAAUCUGGUUGGCCUCUUCCUUCAGCAGUGAUGACCAAAUCCAGGCCCUGGGCCCAGCACUGUGUAGGCAUGAGCCUUCUCCUGGAGAGCAAAGAAGGCAAAUAAUUAAACGAGCAGGAGUAAUACUGUAUAUGCAGAUGCAGAAGGUCAUAAAAACUCAAGGCAAGCCAUAGCCCAGUUUUGGGGCCUGUUCUAUUUUGUUUUGUUUUUAUGAGAGGAGCAGGGAAGGCUUUUUGGAGGAUGUGAAUAUUUAAGUUGGGAACUGAGAAAUGAGUAGAAGGUAGUCAGCUAAAACAUGUAGGGGGAAGAAAAGGAAAGAGUAUUCCAGAUGGAAGGAAGUAUCAUGAGCCAUGGCUCAGAAAUGAGAAUGCAUGGCGUAUUCAAGGAACAAAAACAAGUCGGAGAGGACGGAAGUACAGGGUUGGGGAGAAGCAUGGGAGAUAUAGCUGGAGAGGCAGUAGGGAGCCAGUCGGAAAGACUAAGGCCAUGGGGAGGGGUGAGGCUUUGCUCUAAGGUCAAGGAGAGUCGCUGGAUAGGCUUUAGUCACAGGUGUGCAGAAUGAGAUCUGAUCUCUCAGCUGACUGUGUGGUGCGGAGAUUAUAGGAGGGGCCCGGUGGGAGGCUGCCAUGGGCAUCCAGGUGAGAGGGUGCGGUGGCCUUGACUAGGCAGUGACAAUGAGACUGGGGGGAAAUGGAUGGACCUGACACACAAGGGUUCGAGGAUGACCUUUGGGUUUCUUAGAUCUCACAGAAUGGGUGGAUGAUGGUACCAUCAGAAAUACGGGGAAAGACUCUAGAUUGUGUAAUACUCUUCUUUGAUAUAUUUCUUUCCAAAUACAUUUAAUUUCAGUUGCUAGUGAGCCUGUGGAACUUUCAGAUAGAAAUAUCUACUAGGAAGUUGUAACAGAUAUUUAUCGGGCGCUUUCUACAUGCCAGGCACACUCUGGUCACUUGGGAUGCACUGUGAGCACGACAAGGCACCGUGCCCUUGCAAAGCUCACAUUAUAUCAGGCCCGAGCUGCAGCCCGGGGUCUAGCAGAUGUACGUAGUUAACUGAAGGCUUUGGAGUCAAAGAGGUUGCUCAGGAAGAUUUCAGUGAAAGGACAGAAGCCUGGCAUAGCAUCCUGAGGAACACUAGGAUUCUAAAAAGGAGAAGGCGAGAUGGCAGGCAUUCAGAGUUCUGGGGAGUGGUCCCCGGCAUCACACACAGCUAAGAAGGAAGACAAGGACUAGAGGUGUUCUGUCGUGGUGCUUCUCAAAGUGGGGUCCCCAGACUAACCACAGCAGCAGCAGCACCCAGGAAUUUAGAAAUGCACAUUCUUGGGUUCCACCCCAGACCUACUGAAUCUGAAUCUGAAACUCUGAGAGUGGGUCCCAGCCAUCUGUGGUUUAACCGGCCUUCCAGGUGGUCCUGAUGUGCGUUGGAGUUUGAGAACCGUCGCUCUGUUGCAUUCGUCGGUAAGGAAAUCAUUGGUGACUGGAGAGCGUGGCGAAAACAAUUUCGUUGAAGUUAUAGCCUGUUUGGGGUAAAUUUUAAAAAAGGUACCAAGAGUGUUAAACCUUGCCUUAUUCUUUAUUUCGAAUUUCCAGUGUUUCACUGACUUAUUUUUUUGUGUGUUUGAAUGUGUCUCUUUUAUGUAUUAGUUGAUAAUGGAUUCCUCUUUUGUCUCACUCUGUUCUACAUGAUUUCUGAAGUUUUGUUUUUAUCUACUUUGAGACACAUCCCUUUAUGGGCUCUCAAUAUGUUAGGCCACCUGCAUCAUUGAUAAUUGGUUUGCUGCCCUCAACUCUGAAAUGGAGGAAUUAAAAUACCAAAAACAGAGUGCAAUCAUGAAGAUAAGUGAGUCUCGACUCUGAAUGGCAGCCGAAAAAACACCUAGAUGCUUAAAUUAGCUCUUCCAAAAAGUUCCAAGGCUCUAUCAGGGAUAUAUGUCUAAUUAUUUGAACUUGUUACUCAUGUGAAGUAAUUGGAAGUGUGCCCUUUUCAUCUAAAGUGAUCCAACAACAUAACCAUAAUUAUUGUACUUCCAACGCACUUAAGAAGGAGAGGACUCUUAUUAACUGGGUCUUUUCCUGCUUCUUUUGUUGUUAUACUCCUGAGUAUUUUGUUUCAUUUGACAGGAGGAAGUAGAGCACAUUACUAUGUUUUGCUACCAUCAGGGAAAAUCUGUGUAGAUUUUCAAAUCAGAGGAAAUAGAUGUAGACAUUACUCUUAUUGCUACCUCAGUUCACAGGGAACACUUUUCAUUUUAUAAGAAUAAAAACUGGUGGUUUUUA